rnacentral:rRNA from 1 species
UGGAACAGGGCGUCGCAGAGGGUGAGAAUCCCGUACGCGGCCGGUGGACGAGCCCGUGUGAAGCCCUUUCGACGAGUCGAGUUGUUUGGGAAUGCAGCUCUAAAUGGGUGGUAAAUUUCAUCUAAAGCUAAAUAUCUGCCGGAGACCGAUAGCGCACAAGUAGAGUGAUCGAAAGAUGAAAAGCACUUUGAAAAGAGAGUCAAACAGUACGUGAAAUUGUUGAAAGGGAAGCGCUUGCAACCAGACUCGUUCGCGGGUGCUCAGCCGUCCCUCGGGGCGGUGCAUUCUCCCGCGUUUCGGGCCAGCAUCGGUUCUGGCGGCCGGAUAAAGGCCUCGGGAACGUAACUCUCUUCGGGGAGUGUUAUAGCCCGGGGUGCAAUGCGGCCAGCCGGGACCGAGGACCGCGCGUUUGCUAGGAUGCUGGCGUAAUGGUUGUUAGCGACCCGUCUUGAAACACGGACCAAGGAGUCGACCAAUCGGGCGAGUUUUAGGGCGUAAAACCCUGAAGCGCAAUGAAAGUGAACGCAGGUGGGAGCCUUCGGGCGCACCAUCGACCGAUCCUGAUGUCUUCGGACGGAUUUGAGUACGAGCCCGGCUGGUCGGACCCGAAAGGUACGACCAUCAUUUCUUCUAAAAUUCGUUCUUGUAAAAUAUUCGCUAACUUUCUUUUCCAGAUGGCGAACUAUGCGUGAAUAGGGUGAAGCCAGAGGAAACUCUGGUGGAGGCUCGCAGCGGUUCUGACGUGCAAAUCGAUCGUCAAAUUUGCGCAUAGGGGCGAAAGACUAAUCGAGCCAUUUAGUAGCUGGUUCCCGUCGAAGUUUCCCUCAGGAUAGCAGCAACGAAAACUCAGUCUCAUGAGGUAGAGCAAACGAUUAGAGGUCUUGGGAUUAAAAUUAAUCUUAACCUAUUCUCGAACUUCGAAUAUGUGAGAAGUCCUUGUUACUUAGUUGAACGUGGACACU